GCUGCCCCGGCUGGACACAGGCUCAAUCUUGCUGGAAUCUGUCCUCUUACUCCCCGACCCCAGCCCAGUGCCCCACCAGCGUGCUCCACUCAGCAUCCUGAUUUUCCCUGGAAUGUGCCACUUUGCCACCAUUUCCCUUUCAACAGAUGGAAUAUAGCAAGUUCGCUUUCUAUAUCAAUCAUGUCACAAAUCAUUAAGCAUAUCGACAUCAAGCAGAGCCAGCCUGUGUAGUCGCAAAGGGGUCGGGUGUUUUUCCACUGCCGAGCAGGCAGGUGCCACUACCUCGUCCUCAACUGUCAGAACCCUUCCCCAGACCACAGCUUUAACAGCUGAUCUUCAGAAGCCAGAGGCAGCCUCCCCCAACGCCAGUGCCCUGGGUCCAAGAGCAGAAUCUCAGUGUUCCUGCAGAAGUCACCAUGGAAGAAUAAUCGUGUUGUGAUUUUGAAAGGAAAUUGAAAUCCCCUCUUUACUGCUUUCUAAAUGAACCUUAUAAUUUUC
rnacentral:lncRNA from 1 species